rfam:Oryza sativa Japonica Group DNA, chromosome 3, cultivar: Nipponbare, complete sequence.
AAAGAUAGUAGUUUUGUAUUGUUUAUUUUCAAUGUUUGACCGUAUAUCUUAUUUAAAAAUUUUGUUAUGAUUAAUGUUUUUAUUGUUCCUAGAUGAUACGUAAAGCAUUAAUACACUUUAUGUGUGACUAUUUUUAUAAAAAAAUACAUAAUUUUUUUUAAAUAAGAUGGACGGUCAAACGUUGGACACGGAAACCCACAACUGCACUUAAA